UACAGAGGGUGCAAGCGUUAAUCGGAAUUACUGGGCGUAAAGCGCACGUAGGCGGCUUCUUAAGUCGGUGGUGAAAUCCUGGAGCUCAACUCCAGAACUGCCUUCGAUACUGGGAGCUCGAGUCCGGGAGAGGUGAGUGGAACUGCGAGUGUAGAGGUGAAAUUCGUAGAUAUUCGCAAGAACACCAGUGGCGAAGGCGGCUCACUGGCCCGGUACUGACGCUGAGGUGCGAAAGCGUGGGGAGCAAACAGG
rnacentral:rRNA from 1 species